AAUCGAGGCGGGUAGACGAUGCCGCAAAUAAAACGACCACACACUCACUACUACAUCAUUCAUGGAUGAUCAUCAUGCUUGUUUGAGAUCGAGCGGUCGAGUGCCUGUUAUAGCGGGUAUUAUUCGGACCUCGUACUUUUUUCCUCUUCUUCUCUUUCCACCGACGGACUGUGCCCCUCCCGACCGGUAACGCCGCAGCUCAUAACUUGACACCCACACCUGCGUAUUAUAUAUACGCAUACAUUUGGGAUUCAAGAGCGAUUUUGCAGGGGACUGUCACAAAUCACUCCUUGAUUGGGGACCGGGAAUCGCUUGCAUGCCGGCAAAGGUAUUGGAUAUCCUAUCAGAUAAGCCGCAAGUGAGAAGUUACGAAUCCUGACUCCUGAAUCUUACAUGUCUGCUGGCAUCUAACGCGGUCCUCCCUUCCCUUCUUUUUCUUUCCCUUUGCUCCUCACCAUGCCUCGCUCAUGGCGUCAGUGGUCAUGUACAUAUUAAAUAUCGCAUAUCGCACUGCUAUUAUUAUAACCGCAAUCCGCGUGCUGUCUGAUCUCGCUCCGUUCAUCAUGCCCAUGUACCGCUCUCAUUCGGCAUGCAUUCCAUGAU
rnacentral:sRNA from 1 species